rnacentral:pre_miRNA from 1 species
AAAAAGAUAAACCCUGGGUUUCCGUGCCAACGUUUGACUGUCCAUCUUAUAUAAAAUUUUUUUAUAAUUAGUAUUUUCAUUGUUGUUAGAUGGUAAAACAUGAUUAAUACUUUAUGCGUGACUUAUUUUUUAAAUUUUUAUCACAAUUUUUUUAAAUAAGACGGACGGUCAAAUGUUGGACACGGAAACCAGGGUUUGUCUUUUU